rnacentral:rRNA from 1 species
GACAGAGGUGGCGAGCGUUGUUCGGAUUUAUUGGGCGUAAAGCGCACGCAGGCGGGUUGGUAAGUCAGAGGUGAAAGGUCACAGCUCAACUGUGACAUUGCCUUUGAUACUGCCUUUCUUGAGUGCAUGAGGGGGAAGCGGAAUUCCGGGUGUAGAGGUGAAAUUCGUAGAUAUCCGGAGGAACACCGGUGGCGAAGGCGGCUUCCUGGCAUGUAACUGACGCUCAGGUGCGAAAGCGUGGGGAGCAAACAGG